GGAGAGGUGGCAGAGUGGCCGAAUGCAAGUGCCUGCUAAGCACUUGACCGGGUAACUGGUCCCAGGGUUCGAAUCCCUGCCUCUCCG
rnacentral:tRNA from 1 species